rnacentral:rRNA from 1 species
AUCGGCUAACUCCGUGCCAGCAGCCGCGGUAAUACGGAGGAUGCAAGCGUUAUCCGGAUUUAUUGGGUUUAAAGGGUGCGUAGGCGGACUAAUAAGUCAGUGGUGAAAUCUCUCGGCUCAACCGGGAAACUGCCAUUGAUACUGUUAGUCUUGAGUUCGGUUGAGGUAGGCGGAAUGUGUAAUGUAGCGGUGAAAUGCUUAGAUAUUACACAGAACACCAAUUGCGUAGGCAGCUUACUAGACCGACACUGACGCUGAGGCACGAAAGCGUGGGUAGCGAACAGGAUUAGAUACCCUGGUAGUCCACGCCGUAAACGAUGAUUACUCGUUGUUGGCGAUACACAGUCAGCGACUAAGCGAAAGCGAUAAGUAAUCCACCUGGGGAGUACGCUCGCAAGAGUGAAACUCAAAGGAAUUGACGGGGGCCCGCACAAGCGGUGGAACAUGUGGUUUAAUUCGAUGAUACGCGAGGAACCUUACCUGGGCUUAAAUGUAGAGUGCAUUUAUGGGAAACCAUAAUUUCCUUCGGGACUCUUUACAAGGUGCUGCAUGGUUGUCGUCAGCUCGUGCCGUGAGGUGUCGGGUUAAGUCCCAUAACGAGCGCAACCCUUAUCAUUAGUUGCCAUCGGGUAAUGCCGGGGACUCUAAUGAAACUGCCACCGUAAGGUGAGAGGAAGGUGGGGAUGACGUCAAAUCAGCACGGCCCUUAUGUCCAGGGCUACACACGUGUUACAAUGGUCGGUACAGAGGGCAGCUACCUGGUGACAGGAUGCGAAUCUCUAAAGCCGGUCCAAGUUCGGAUCGAAGUCUGCAACUCGACUUCGUGAAGCUGGAAUCGCUAGUAAUCGUAUAUCAGCAAUGAUACGGUGAAUACGUUCCCGGGCCUUGUACACACCGCCCGUCAAGCCAUGGAAGCUGGGGGUGCCUGAAGUUCGUAACCGUAAGGAGCGACCUAAGGUAAAACUAGUGACUGGGGCUAAGUCGUAACAAGGUAGCCGUACCGGAAGGUGUGGCUG